UACGGGAGGUGCAAGCGUUGUUCGGAAUGACUGGGCGUAAAGCGCACGUAGGUGGGCUUGUAAGUCGGACGUGAAAGCCCUGGGCUUAACCCGGGAACUGCGUCCGAAACUGCGAGUCUUGAAUGCCCAAGAGGUUGGUAGAAUUCCUGGUGUAGGAGUGAAAUCCGUAGAUAUCAGGAGGAAUACCAGAGGCGAAGGCGGCCAACUGGUGGUGCAUUGACACUGAGGUGCGAAAGCGUGGGGAGCAAACAGG
rnacentral:rRNA from 1 species